rnacentral:rRNA from 1 species
UACGUAGGGGGCAAGCGUUGUCCGGAUUUAUUGGGCGUAAAGAGCGUGUAGGCGGCCAGGUAGGUCAGCUGUGAAAACUCGAGGCUCAACCUCGAGACGUCGGUUGAAACCAUCUGGCUAGAGUCCGGAAGAGGAGAGUGGAAUUCCUGGUGUAGCGGUGAAAUGCGCAGAUAUCAGGAAGAACACCCGUGGCGAAGGCGGCUCUCUGGGACGGUACUGACGCUGAGGUGCGAAAGCGUGGGGAGCAAACAGG